GAUGAACGCUAGCGGCAGGCCUAACACAUGCAAGUCGAGGGGUAACUAGAGUGAUAGCAAUAUUACUUUGGCUAGACCGGCGCACGGGUGCGUAACACGUAUGCAACCUACCUUAUACUGGGGAAUAACUUCGAGAAAUCGGCGCUAAUACCCCAUAACAUUGCGAAGGGGCAUCCCCUUGCAAUUAAAGCAUCGGCGGUAGAAGAUGGGCAUGCGUCCAAUUAGCUGUUAGGGGAGGUAACGGCUCACCAAGGCUACGGUUGGUAGGGGUUCUGGGAGGAUGAUCCCCCACACUGGUACUGAGACACGGACCAGACUCCUACGGGAGGCAGCAGUGAGGAGUAUUGCGCAAUGGACGAAAGUCUGACGCAGCCAUGCCGCGUGCAGGACGACGGCCCUAUGGGUUGUAAACUGCUUUUGUACGGGAAUAAACCCUUCUACGUGUAGGAGGCUGAAGGUACCGUAAGAAUAAGCACCGGCUAACUCCGUGCCAGCAGCCGCCGUAAUAC
rnacentral:rRNA from 1 species